rnacentral:rRNA from 1 species
UACGGAGGCCCCAAGCGUUGUUCGGAUUUAUUGGGCGUAAAGGGUGCGUAGGCGGCAUUGUAAGUCUGGUGUGAAAGGCCGUGGGCUCAACCUGCGGACUGGCAUUGGAUACUGCGAUGCUAGAGGACUGGAGAGGAGAAUGGAAUUCACGGUGGAGCAGUGAAAUGCGUAGAUAUCGUGAGGAAGGCCAGUGGCGAAGGCGGAUUC